AACGAACGCUGGCGGCAUGCCUAACACAUGCAAGUCGAACGAGACCUUCGGGUCUAGUGGCGCACGGGUGCGUAACGCGUGGGAACCUGCCCUUAGGUUCGGAAUAACUCCCCGAAAGGGGUGCUAAUACCGGAUAAUGUCUUCGGACCAAAGAUUUAUCGCCUUUGGAUGGGCCCGCGUUGGAUUAGCUAGUUGGUAGGGUAAAAGCCUACCAAGGCGACGAUCCAUAGCUGGUCGGAGAGGAUGAUCAGCCACACUGGGACUGAGACACGGCCCAGACUCCUACGGGAGGCAGCAGUGGGGAAUAUUGGACACUGGGCGAAAGCCUGAUCCAGCCAUGCCGCGUGAGUGAUGAAGGCCUUAGGGUUGUAAAGCUCUUUUACCCGGGAUGAUAAUGACAGUACCGGGAGAAUAAGCUCCGGCUAACUCCGUG
rnacentral:rRNA from 1 species